rnacentral:rRNA from 1 species
AUUGAACGCUGGCGGCAUGCCUUACACAUGCAAGUCGAACGGUAACAGGUUAAGCUGACGAGUGGCGAACGGGUGAGUAAUGUAUCGGAACGUGCCCAGUUGUGGGGGAUAACUGCUCGAAAGAGCAGCUAAUACCGCAUACGACCUGAGGGUGAAAGCGGGGGAUCGCAAGACCUCGCGCAAUUGGAGCGGCCGAUAUCAGAUUAGGUAGUUGGUGGGGUAAAGGCUCACCAAGCCGACGAUCUGUAGCUGGUCUGAGAGGACGACCAGCCACACGGGGACUGGGACACGGCCCAGACUCCUACGGGAGGCAGCAGUGGGGAAUUUUGGACAAUGGGCGCAAGCCUGAUCCAGCCAUGCCGCGUGCGGGAAGAAGGCCUUCGGGUUGUAAACCGCUUUUGUCAGGGGAGAAACGCUCUGGGUUAAUACCCUGGGGUAAUGACGGUACCUGAAGAAUAAGCACCGGCUAACUACGUGCCAGCCGCCGCCGUAA